AUUUGUAAGUUACACGGCAUUUCUUUUAGUGUUAACAGGGUCAGUGUCAGGUUUAACCACAGGUGUCAUUGUAAUUGGGGUGUGGCUAGUGUUGAGACUAUAGUAUAUUGGUUGUCGUAACCCUGUGUUAGUUUGAUGAGGAUUUGAGGUUGGUGGAUGAAGAUAGGAGAGAGAGUUUGUACAUACUAUUUUAGUAUUUGUAUUAUUUCUGCAACUUAAGGGGGAAAAGCCUUCCGGUUGGAAUGAACAGCUUUGUGUCUGCUUGUUGUUUUUGUUCCUGAGGAGACCACUUCACUGCAAAAAGGGCGGUGUUGGUUCAUUUGCUGAAUGCUACCGAAUGAUGUUUCCAAGAGAGGAAAAUGAAGCUGAGAGGGAAGAGACCAAGAACACAUAAAAGAAAAUAGCUAUCCAUACAUACUUCAUAUGAAAGACAUUGACACUUUUCACACUACGCAAUUAUAUCAUUAUUAUUCACCUUUAACCACCUUGGUUGAAUCCUAUGGAGUCAGGAUUUGAAAUUAUGGGAAAGGGUAUUUCAGCCAGAAAGCUCUCGUGUCUCACCAAAGUACCAAUCCCAAAAUCCACACAUAGCAGUUAAAGUGGAAUCACAGGGCUAUAAUUCUACAGUGUGAAAGGGCCCGUAGCUAGCUACAUGAAGGAAUGUCCUUCCAGAAGAUGAAGCAAUGGCUGUCAACUUGAAUGGCUAUGAUGGAAGAGAGUUGGACAAAUUGCUUGGACGAUUUGGCUAUUAGUCUACUUGUUAUGAUGGAUAUAUGUUAUCGCCAGUAAUAAGAACAAGUCGAAUCUCCCUCCAUCUAGGACUAGAUAUUUUUAAAUUUUGUCCCCCACCACCUGAUUAUGGAAUACUUGUAUUUGUACGUACUGUAUAUGGGAAAUGAUGUUUGGGGGAAAGAGGGCUAGUGGUCAUGCGUCCAUCAACCACUAGGCAAAGAGGAAUGGUGGGAUGAGGAUGCCAUUUACACAAGGCUCAUAUAAAAAAGCUGACAUCCCAGAUGUUUUGGAAUUUUAGAUAGGGAAACACAACCUGUGGUUGGCUAUACAAGCUGGAGGAUGCUGUUGCCUUCAAACCCUACAAGUGGAGUUUUCCUUAGAUUAUUGGUUGGCCAACAUUUGAACAGAAGGCUAGACUGGAUGGACCUUUGGUUUGAUUCAACAAGGCUGUUGAUAGGUUCUAAUGGCUCACUUUUUGGCAGGGAUGCAGUGAUUGUAAAACUAACCUGUAGCCCUCCACAGUAGUUUUGCAGCCUAAUUUUAAUAGCCCUGCAGCCUAAUUUUUGAAGUGUUGCUGUCUGGUCUCAUUAAAAUAAAUGAAGCCUGAUGGUUGUCCAUCC